GGAGGGCUAUCGAAGAGGUCAUAACGAGAACGACUCGAAAUCGUUUGGCCGGUGUUGAGCCGACCCGUGGGUUCGAAUCCCACGCCCUCCGCCA
rnacentral:tRNA from 3 species